rnacentral:lncRNA from 13 species
CUCCAGCCUAGGUGACAAGAACGAAACUCCAUCUCAAAAAAAAAAGAAAGAAAAGAAAAGAAACCACAUUCAUAGGCAAUACUUACAUAUAAUCUCUCUUUUUACUCCAUACCUGGAGAAUUAUCUUCUUUACUUGGAAAACAUCACUUUUUUUUGUUUCUUUUCUGAUUACAAGUUAUUCUGAGAGCUGUCAGAAACUGUGAGUUAUCUUAACGUAAAAAAUAAGAUCAACGCCUGAAUGAUUAGCUAACAAAGAAAGAAAAGAACACCUUUGACUUCUCUCACAGAACAACUUGAAAGAUUAAAAAAUGUUAAUGUUUCUAGGUUAAUAGUCAUGCGAUUCAAGUGACUUUUAAAAUAUAUAAUUACUGAAGCCAGAUAGAAUCUUAACAUUCUUGUGGGUUUAAAGGUGAAAUGUUUCAAAGGAUUGGGAAUGAACAUAUUAACAGAGAGGCUGUGAAGAAAAUGAAAGAGCUGACAGGGGCCAUAGAUCCUGACUUUCUACGGCUGAAUUCUGCUUUCAGCUCAUAAUAACUGUGGGCUCUUAGGCCUCAAUUCCCUCAUGUGUGAAAUGGAACUGUGAUUGGUAACCACCUCUUCAGAGUGUUGAGUGCUGAAUGAGAUAAUUAUCUUAAAAGUUUAGCCCAGAGCCUGCCUAGGAGCAGUUCUGUAGUGAUUCAUUAACAAUAUCUAAUCUUACUGUAACAUUAGGCAGAGAGCACUUUUCCGAGCAAGAGCAAAUGGAGUCUAGUUCUGUCCCUCCCUUUGCCUUGAAUCCAGAUUUCAGAGAGUGAUUCAUCCUAAGUCCUGCUUCUCCCUGUAUGGCAUGUGAACCCAUCCGGAUUCCUGGAAACUGCAUUCUAGUUGUUUAUCUCAGCAGGCUGAGCCGUGACCAAAGGCUCAUGACUACUAUCUCAAAAACAGUUCCAGAAGCUGGGAAGUUCAAGAUCCAAGUGCUGGCAUCUGGUGAGAGCUUUUGUGCUACAUCAGCUCACGGCAGAAGGUGGAAGGGCAGGUAAGUAAACAAGAUAGAGAAAACUGGGCCCAAUGCACCCUUUUUCAGGAGCCCUGUCCGGUGACAACUAACCCGCUCUGGUGAUAAUGGCAUCAAUCCACUCAUGAGGACAGAGCCCUCAAGGCCUAAUCACCUUUUAAAGGUCCCACCACUUAACACCAUCACAAUGGCAACUAAGUUUAACAUGAGCUUUGAAGGCCACAUUCAAACCACGGCACUAGGUUAUAGGAUGAACACUGGAAAGAUGGAGCCAUGUUUAGUUCCUUGGUGUUUUAAAAUAUUUAAAUAGCUCACAGAUUGGGUAUUUCUCAAAAUUAACAUCCUCCUUAAAAAUGAAUACUCUCAACCUCUGCUAAGUCCUUUUAUUAUUAUAACCUCAUUAAUUGUGGUAACACUUUUAUGAGAAGGGCCAUAGAG